GGUGCAGAUGAUGAUUGUACAGCGAUCAAAGCAUGAACCACUGUGAUAAAAUCUUAAAACACUGAUGCACC